rnacentral:rRNA from 1 species
UACGUAUUGACCAAGCGUUGUUCGGAUUUACUGGGCGUAAAGGGCGCGUAGGCGGCAAUUCAAGUCAUCUGUGAAAUCUCCGGGCUUAACCCGGAACGGUCAGGUGAUACUGUUUUGCUAGAGUGCGGAAGGGGCAAUCGGAAUUCUCGGUGUAGCGGUGAAAUGCGUAGAUAUCGAGAGGAACACCAGAGGUGAAGACGGGUUGCUGGGCCGACACUGACGCUGACAGCGCGAAAGCCAGGGGAGCAAACGGG